UGAUUGAUUAUAGUGAACUUUUGCGAAUAAAUCCGUUCACAUAAAGUUAUCUUUAGUCUCUAUUGCCCAAUCGUUGUAUAUGUGUCACUGUUACCCACAUGAUCCUCCAGAUCUACUCGCGUGGUUGAAACAAAUCAAAUCAGCCAAUAAGUAAUGAAAUGCUCAAAACAGCCUAGGAUUUCCCAAGUUUCAAGAAGAGAGACAUGGAUUGCUAAACCUGAAAUGGACUUGCAGUCUUUCCAUGCUGAAGUAGGAGGAUAGUGCUAGAAGACAACUUUGCUCUUUAUGUAUCACCCCAAAGUCACUCCAUGAGUCCAUCAGUUAGCUCAAAUGCAACAACAAUAAGUCCAAGGCUUUUAGGUAUGGUAACUGUUAAAGUUGUAUCGCCUGUACUACAUCUGAUGAAGUGAGCUCAACAAUUUCAGUGCUGUCAGUCGCACCUUCCCACGUGAACUACCAGUCCCAAUGUGUUUUGACUGGGAUGGAAAGAAUUCCAAUUUCAAGUCUAAAUGGAAAUCAACAUGGAUCACAUCAGGCAACAAAUUUCCUCUAGGACUGAUGUGCAGAAAUCCUACAUCACGAGCUACAAAAAAGUUUGAACUCCGGAUUGCAAGUUAUUACGACCGCCGUAUGGACGAAACCCUGUGGUUCAUUGCAAGACGCAUCGUUGUCGAAGAAACUGCCAUCCGGGAAGAACCAUAAUUUCAAACAUCAGUUGCUAGCAGUUUUUGUCCGGGCAGCAACAAAUCCUGUCCGGAACUUGACGAAGAAGUUGCUAGAGAAUGAUACAUUUCAGACGGUCGUAAAAUUUGAGAACGAAGAGGAGCCUGAUGAGAUCUCUCGAUUCAAUUAAAAAAAAAACUCAAAGAAAGUAAUG